CCCGGAUUUAUUGGGUUUAAAGGGUGCGCAGGUGUUAAAUAAGUCAGUGGUGAAAGUCCUGCCGCUUAACGGUAGGAUUGCCAUUGAUACUGUCUGACUUGAAUAUGGAUGAGGUAGGCGGAAUGUGUAGUGUAGCGGUGAAAUGCUUAGAUAUUACACAGAACACCGAUUGCGAAGGCAGCUUACUAAUCCAUGAUUGACGCUGAGGCACGAAAGCGUGGGGAUCAAACAGGAUUAGAUACCCUGGUAGUCCACGCUGUAAACGAUGAUCACUCGCUGUUUGCGAUACACAGUAAGCGGCUAAGCGAAAGCGUUAAGUGAUCCACCUGGGGAGUACGAUCGCAAGGUUGAAACUCAAAGGAAUUGACGGGGGCCCGCACAAGCGGAGGAACAUGUGGUUUAAUUCGAUGAUACGCGAGGAACCUUACCUGGGCUUAAAUGGGGAGUGACAGCUGCUGAAAGGUGGUUUUCUUCGGACACUCUCCAAGGUGCUGCAUGGUUGUCGUCAGCUCGUGCCGUGAGGUGUCGGGUUAAGUCCCAUAACGAGCGCAACCCUUACUGUUAGUUGCCAGCGGGUAAUGCCGGGGACUCUAGCGGGACUGCCACCGUAAGGUGAGAGGAAGGUGGGGAUGACGUCAAAUCAGCACGGCCCUUAUGUCCAGGGCUACACACGUGUUACAAUGGCCGGUACAAAGGGCAGCUACACCGCGAGGUGAUGCUAAUCUCCAAAGCCGGUCCCAGUUCGGAUCGAAGUCUGCAACCCGACUUCGUGAAGUUGGAUUCGCUAGUAAUCGCGCAUCAGC
rnacentral:rRNA from 1 species